AGAUGUUUUCCCCACCAACUGGUGGUGCAGGCCCAAAAAAUGGUAAUGUAGCUGGUUCUGAUCAUCAUUCAGCAUCCAACUACAAGCAAGGGAGCAAGGAAAUUACAGGAGCGUGUUUCAAGUGCAGGCUUUACCUAUUCCAUCAAGUCUGGAUUCCCAAUAAAGCCAGUGCUUUAUGUUGGAGAGUAGCUCCAAAGCUUGGAAUUCACUGCCCAAGAUUUUAAGGUCAAUGGGGGCUACCAGAAGAAUAAGAGCCAAAGUGCAAUUUCCCUCAUCCCCAUCAGAAUUAAGCCAGCUCUGAUCUCCCCAGAGAGGCGGCCGAGGUUCGCACGUUUAACAGGCAUUUUACGGCUCCAGUAGUCACUCGCAGUGGGGCAAUCGUCUUCAUCGCAUUUCUUGUUCAGCCAUGUUCCUUCCUUUGCUGAGCCCCCCUUUUUCUAUCAAACUAUAUAGGGCUGUGCCAAUCAGGUAGAUCUGUGCUCUAAAACACGACUAUGGGAAUUACCGAAAUAACUACAUAUAGUACUUAAGAAAAAAUACAUGCAUCAUAGAAUGAGAUAUACAUGUACUUCAAUCUAUUUCUUUACUAACUGGAUGAAUUAAAGCCUGAAAGUAAUUUAGAGUACAAACAUGUUUUAUAUAGGGGCCUACAUUGAAAUAUUGCAUGAUUAUGACAGGUAUGAGAACUAUUGCAGUGUGUCACAAAUGAUAUAAAACUUACAUGUAGGAAUCUUCUCUCUAUUUGUCUUUUCACACUUCUUGUUUUUUGUUUUCGUAUUUUACUUUUUCAUUCAGUUUAUUUAUUUGAAAUUUGUCUAUCAUUAUUUUUGUCAUAUAUUUUUUUUUAAGAACACAACAUGAACAUACAUGUACAGUAGACUCAAAAGAGAGCCAAGAUUUUUGUUAAAAAGCGAUUGGGCCUUUGAGGUUCAGAAAAUGAUUCUGUCAACUUUAUUCCCCAAUUCAUUUCCAUGCAGCUAAUAACAUCAGAGGUCAGGGGUAGCCUAACACUGUCAGUGAGAAAAAGAGGCAAAGUUCAUUAAAAAUCACUAUUGUUUGUGUGAAAUGCUUGAUUUUUAUUUGUAAUUGAUCAUUGCUAAACUUAAUUUGAUCAUGUGAUUAAGAAAGGGGAGAUGGAGAUUUGUUUUAAAAAUAAAUCUUUUGCACUAAAAUAAGACAUAUUUGAAUGCAGAAUAUAUCAUGUCUUCAACAAAUUAUGAAAACAUGACCAGGAUACACAAGAUGAACUGUAGUGGAGUGUUGCUUCCCAUUGUAUUUGUAAUUCUAGGAUAAUAAUACUGUACUUGCAAACAACAAUGUGCAGUGUGUCUUCACUAUAUUCAGCCUUGUUGUAUUUGGCAUUGAAUCUUGUGAUAACUCAAUCAUAAAUGAAUACCUCAGGAAGAUGAAUAUGGCCCACAUGUACAUGUAGUCAUUACAAUCUCUAACUCAUUUUAUACUCAGCAAGAACAAAGUAGAGCAGAAUAAUAUGGAGGAUGGCUAGAAGUGGGAUAUAGCGAGAAGGAUGGGGGGGGGGGGGGGGCAUUUACAUUAAAGUACCCUUUCUCAAGAGCACCCUUCAUUUGAUAGAAAGAGGAAAUUCUAUUAGUGCAUCUGUAAUUAACUGUUACCCGGUGAUUGUAAAAUCAAUGCUGAAGAGUAGGGGUUCAUAUUAGAGUAGGGAUGGUGUGCUAAUUGCAUAUGCCCUGUAAUUUAGAGAGCAACCUUGUGAUUGUCUGAGAAGGGAAUGUAAGUGCUAAUUAAUUUACUUGAUAAAAGACAUCUACUACCACUAAGGGCUGAGAUCACUCCUGAUUUAAUAUUGCUAUUCUUUAAUAGGGAAACACAAUCACAGGUUUUGCAUUUUACAUGUACAUUGUUGGUGCAUCUGAUGAUGAGAAAUGGAAACACUAGGCAUUCAGGUUAACACUGCAUUCACAUAUGAAACUUGUGCAUAUGUUGAUUCUCAUUGUAGUUAAUAGAAUGUACCCUGCAAUGUGCGGAGAUGAAUUAAAUGUUUCCUGUUCUCUCAGAUCAAGGAAAAUCAGAUUUCUAAAAUUUAUUGCUGAUAUCCAUUUAGUGUUAUUCUCAAUUAUCUUUAUACUUCAAACACAUCUCCAUGCUACUUGUAACAGUGACCUUCUAGUGUUUGUAUAGAUUUGAAAACAUUUAUCUUUUUUAUUCUUGUUUAGAAUAAACCUUCUCAAGAUCUCACAAAAGAUGUAGCCUAAUUUACAUGUAAUAAUUAAUUUUCAAAUGUGAACAGUGUAUUACAAGGUCUGUUCGUUUCAGGAUAUGAUGGUCAUUAUUAGUCAUUAAAUGGAUCUUGUUGAAACCAUAAUUCAAUUAAAAUGUGGGCUGUAACAUGUCUCCCACAUCAACACUACUUGAAAAAAAAAAUAUAUUGAUGGGCAUCAGGUGGAAAACAAUCUUGAAACUUGUAUUUAACUCUAUCUCUAAUACUAGGCUGAGUCAUUUGAUUUUUUUUAAAUGUUUAAUUGAUUUUAAAAUGGUUUCUUGAAAGUGUUUAUAAGUCGUUACAGCCCUCCCUUCACAGUUGGGGGUCUGAAUAUUGUAUGAAGAAUGCAUCAUCAGAACACUCAUUUAACAAUUUUAAGGGUUAACCUGAAGCUUUUGAAGAAAAAAAUUAUUUGGUUAAAUUGUAUUUCCUUAUUACUUUUUUAGGAGGGAGGGGGGGGGGGGUGGGCAUAGAAUUUCACUCCGUCUUAUCAAGUCAAGUGCACUGUAAAAAAAAUCUGAUAAAGUCCCCUUUAUUGUUCAGAACUGCGAACAUGGAAAUGAUUUUAAGAGCAUUUAACUCUGACUGGCUGUUACAUGUAUUACGUUGUUUAAUUUACAUGUAUACGUGAUAUUAAUAGUUACAGUUACAUGUAAGGCCAGGGUGUCUUACACAGAAAGAUGGAAAUCUACUGGUCAAUAAAAAUGGAUAAAACCUUGAACAUGUUUUUCUCUGAUUUCUUGUGACUGGUUUGUACAUUGUAAGACUGACAAUGAAUCAACUACAUGUACAUCUAGGAGAUGACUCGGGCGGUAAAGUUUAGCCUUAACUUUUUAUUUUAGAAUUGAUGGUGAACAUUUGAGAUUUGGAUUUGUGAAACUUGAAAUGAAUUAAUGUAUUUGUACAUGUAUGUGCAUUUUGAUAUUAUAAUGAAAUGUGUCAAUGGAAUAAAUUGAUAUACUGUAUGUGUACGAAUAUAUAUCAAUGCCAUGGGAAUGAUACAUUGAUACAUAUAUUCAUUAUUGAAAUAGAGAUUUCAAAAUAAAUUGUAACAAAAGUUGAAA